GAUGAACGCUAGCGGCAGGCCUAAUACAUGCAAGUCGAGCGGCAGCACAGAUAGCAAUAUUGGGUGGCGACCGGCAAACGGGUGCGGAACACGUACACAACCUUCCUUUUGGUGGGGGAUAGCCUUUGGAAACGGAGAUUAAUACCCCAUAAGAUAUUGGGACCGCAUGGUUUUGAUAUUAAAGAUUUAUUGCCAGAAGAUGGGUGUGCGUAUGAUUAGGUAGUUGGUGAGGUAAAGGCUCACCAAGCCGACGAUCAUUAACUGGUGUGAGAGCACGACCAGUCACACGGGCACUGAGACACGGGCCCGACUCCUACGGGAGGCAGCAGUAAGGAAUAUUGGUCAAUGGACGGAAGUCUGAACCAGCCAUGCCGCGUGGAGGAUGAAGGUCCUCUGGAUUGUAAACUUCUUUUAUAUGGGGCGAAAAAGGGCCAUUCUUGGUCAACUGACGGUACCAUAUGAAUAAGCACCGGCUAACUCCGUGCCAGCCGCCGCAGUAAUAC
rnacentral:rRNA from 1 species